ACCAGAAUGGCUUAAUGGUUAAGGUGUUGGACUUAAGAUCCAAUGGAUUUAUAUCUGCAUGGGUUUGAACCCCACUUUUGGUA